GGAAAGUGAGUAAGGGGGGCGGGUGUGGAGACAGAGAGGUUUGAUCCUAAACGUUGUGGGAGAAGGCAACUGAAGUUUUCGUCCCACUAUGAGGACACUCUCAAUUCUGCUUUCCAUCCUUGUGGCUCCGAGAUGGGCCCUGGCCCAGGUUUUCCAGCUGCCCCAGAUCACACGAGUGGAAGGAGAAAGGAUCUUGAUCCCAUGCAGCCAAAACGCCACCUCCCAUGACAUGAUGUCUUGGUACAAACAGCCCCAGCAGGGCCGGGGGGCGCCGAGCUUUCUAGGGACUGGGCAUGACGGCUCCUCCACCGCUGGAGAAUUCACCAUGGCUGUGCACAAGGCCUCCCGCUCCACCAACCUCACCCGAGAUGGAGCCAGCCUGAGCGACGCCGGCAUCUACUACUGCGCAGUGAGAGACACAGCGAGGGGAAUCCAGGUGCCAGCUGCACAGAAACCUGCAGCCUGGCUUCCUGCCAGCCCUGUUCACAGCAUAGCUGCCUUCCCUGGACACGCGGUGCUGAUCCACGUCAGCUGGGGAUCUGCCCCACUGACACAGGGAGGCUAUGACCAAUUUACACCCAUUGGGGAUCUGCCCCACUGA